GAAGGCGUCUCUCCUUUUAUCUUGUUUUCAUUUGACUGCACGCUGAUCUGCUGCCGAGUGGUGCAACGCUCUGAGUGUGCUGACCGGUGCUGCCUCGGUGGUGAUGACGCUGUGCUGACGUGAGGAGAGCCGAGGGAAGGGCACAUAGGGAACGGCCUCAGUUUGGUGGUGUCUGCCUGGCAACGUUACCUGUUAUGCUGCGUUUUCUCUUACCUUCGAUCCUGCUGUUGCACAGCCCGUGGAACCAGUCUUGCGUGGAACACCUUGAAACUCAUGGAAAUAACGAACAUUAGAUAAUUGUUACAUUGUACCAUGAUACGUAAUCUUUUCUCAUACAGUAGAGGUAAAGAGAUGUGUGAAGAUAGUUUAAAAAGGGGGAGGGAGGCCGUGCAUUGAUCUGGACAGUUUGCCGCGGCGUGGGGGCGGGGCGGCCGGCGGCGCCUCGCUGAGGCAAACGUCAGGUGUAUAAUAGAAAGAUUUGUGACAAAAGUGGCGGGUUCCGGUCCUUACCGUUGCUAGUCGCCCUUUGAGAGAGACCCCCAGGUCCCUCCUUAAUCCUCUGUUUAUUCUUCACGUAACUGGAGCUGUGAGCUUGCGCUCGGCGUUUGGCGUGAGCCAAGGUUUGGGGGCCGUGGGCGCAUGACGCCCUUUGAGCUUCCGGCCGCGGCAGGUGCCAGACCACCACUCCCCGAGAGGCGGGACACGACCCCGGCUAAUACCCGGUACCCAUUUUACUGCUGGGUGGACAGAGGCGCGGGUGUAAGGAGAUCGCCCAUCUUUCUCCGCCCCGCCCGGGGAUCGAACCCAGGAUCUCUCGGUGGUGAGCCGAGUGUGCUAACCAUUGCACUACGGAGUACCCGAUUUGGAAUUCCCUCCGUAACCUUUAUAUUCGUGUAUACCUUCCAUGGUCGAAGAGAAUUGCUCACUUUUUUUUUAAUCUUUUCAUAUAUUCUUCUGCUUUCUUGUUUCUUCCUCAUCCAGCCAGCCAGACAGACAAACUAUGUGUCGUUCCCUAAACUCACCCUCCAAUCAUCGCAUCCCUAUCCUACCACCACAACCUUAAGUAUGUUUCUUCUCCUCAAGCAUCAUCCCUAGAAGGAGUGCAGUGCGGGGUAAAAGGUGGUCCGAAAAGGGAGAAGGGGGAUAGGGAGGGGGGGGGCACGAGGCGGCAAGUUAACAAGCCGGGCAUUGUCGACCUUCCCCCUACGAGUGCUUCGUGGUGUAGUGGUAUCGAUCCACGGCCACCACGCUCGGCUCACAACCGAGAGAUCCUAGGUUCGAAUCCCGGGCGGAGCGGAGAUACAUGGGCAGUUUCCUUUGACCCGUGCCCCUGUUCACCCAGCAGUGAGUGGGUACCGGGUGUCAGGCAGGGGUUGUGCCCCGCAUCCCGGGUGGUGGUCCGGCUCCUGCAAUGGCGGGUAACUCAAGGGUGCAAACCCAGAUCCCCAAACCCGGCCUCGGCCAAACCUGCAGUAAUGCAAACAAUGAAGGAUCUACAAAACUAAAGCUACGGAAGUCGAAAGACAAUAAUGAAAGUCGUAAGACAAAUCUGGAGGGAUACGGGGGUCUCUCUCCGGCCAACCGUCAGAGCGGACCGGAAACCAUCAUUUUUGUUUUCUUAGGCCCAACACCGACGCCAACGCCACCUGGGAGUCGCGUCAGGAAGCUCAGACCAGACAAGGCGCGAGAAGAGGUGGUAAUGAGGUCAGGUCAGGUCAGCGAUCAAAGGUGUUAGUUGUUUCGAGAGCGGGGAUGAGUGGGCAGGUGAAGCAGUGGGGGUUCAGAUCUCGCCCCGCCCACCAGGGAACGCCCCAGCCGGUCAGUGCUGCGCGGCGCUAACCGGGGAUGACCCAUGACCCCCGCCGCUCCUCCACACAGAGUUGCAAAGUUCUUUUGCCAUACCUGAGUCUUUCAUUCAACCGAGCUUAGACAGAGAUUGAAGUGUACAACCUCCACUCAUGGUGCCCAGCAGGUGUGUGGCAGUGCAGCAGCCACUCGUACUGUGCUGGCCGGGAGGGAGAGAUUUCUUGAACACACUGGUGGAACAAGUCAGCUGCCUGUCAAGAGGGUAGAGAUGAUGUUAGUCAACUCUGAAAAAGCCUUGUGUUAUCUUGGCUGCUACUGUCUCCUGUGAGUGGUGUGGCUGAGGCCUUCAGAACAAGACUUCAGCAUGGAGAGAUACACACCCAUCACCCUUGGAUGGAAAGUCCUGGUUGAUGGUGCCGCAACAUGACGACCAAAACUGGGAAAUGAGGAGUAAUUGAUUGAAUAAGCGUGCUGUUCCUUCAUUAGCAUCCUGGCCAGGACCCAUUCAUGGAGUCUGUCAUGUAGUCCCAUAACCCCGUCCCCUCAUUAACCCAGACUCUACCUGGUCAGUAAUCUUACCAUUGGCAAACUCAGUGUUCAUACGAGUCUGAGCUGAAGUCAACAGUAAGAUUCAUGAUACUUGGGAGAGCUGGCAGAGGGUGAGGUGGUGGUGACUGGCGCUGAGCUUCGUGAUGUACACCUGGGAGAGUUGGGGCCAGGUAGACCUCAGCUUGCACAACGAAUCACAUUUGCUGCAAUGAUGUUCAAAGCUAGUCCUCUUUAUCACAUGCCUAUCAUUUUAAGUAAGGUCCAGGCAGUGGUGGGCACUGCUAACUGAAAAGUUAGCUUCGCCAAUUGGUAAUCCACUAACUAAAAAGUUGGCUUCGCUGACGCUAAACUGGUAAAGAAAUUAGUGGAAGCAAACACUAACUGCUAACUUUUUUACUUGGAUUUAGCUUCAGUUUAGUAUUUUGUCUUUAAAACCCUUAAAUAUAGACCUACUGACCUGAAAUUUCAAUGUUGUAGAUUAGACAUAGAGCUUUCCAGAAAGGUAUACCAUGCCAAAAUCAGAUGAUGAUAAAGUGUACUCAAAUAAACAAAUUAAAUUCAA